rnacentral:lncRNA from 1 species
UAUUUAAAGAUUUCAUUUCCACAAUAACCCCAUUUUGUGCCAUGGCUUGACCUCUAAUGGAAUGUCCAUGACCUUUAGCUGCUACAUGAAAAGGGACAGAAAGGUCAUAAGAAAAUUUAAUGAGGUCAAUUAUGUCAUUAACAUUAGAAGGAUAAAGAACAGCAGCUGGAAAAAUAUUUUGAAUAAUUUUUCCAAAAUCUUUGGAAGAUGAUAUAAUAUCAUCAGAAUUUAACAUCCGCGUAAAACCCUAAUUCCGAAUCCCAAGAAACCCUAAUUCCAUAAUUCCUAUUAUUAUUAUUAUUAUUAUUAUUAUUAUUAUUUAAAGAUUUCAUUUCCACAAUAACCCCAUUUUGUGCCAUGGCUUGACCUCUAAUGGAAUGUCCAUGACCUUUAGCUGCUACAUGAAAAGGGACAGAAAGGUCAUAAGAAAAUUUAAUGAGGUCAAUUAUGUCAUUAACAUUAGAAGGAUAAAGAACAGCAGCUGGAAAAAUAUUUUGAAUAAUUUUUCCAAAAUCUUUGGAAGAUGA